rnacentral:rRNA from 1 species
UACGGGGGGGGCAAGCGUUGUUCGGAAUUACUGGGCGUAAAGGGCUCGUAGGUGGCCAACUAAGUCAGACGUGAAAUCCCCCGGCUUAACCGGGGAACUGCGUCUGAUACUGGAUGGCUUGAGUUCGGGAGAGGGAUGCGGAAUUCCAGGUGUAGCGGUGAAAUGCGUAGAUAUCUGGAGGAACACCGGUGGCGAAGGCGGCAUCCUGGACCGACACUGACGCUGAGGAGCGAAAGCCAGGGGAGCAAAACGGGG